UACAGAGGGUGCAAGCGUUAAUCGGAAUUACUGGGCGUAAAGGGCGCGUAGGCGGAUAUUUAAGUUAGAUGUGAAAUCCCUGGGCUUAACCUAGGAACUGCAUCUAAGACUGGAUACCUGGAGUGCGGUAGAGGGUAGUGGAAUUUCCGGUGUAGCGGUGAAAUGCGUAGAUAUCGGAAGGAACACCAGUGGCGAAGGCGGCUACCUGGACUGACACUGACGCUGAGGCGCGAGAGCGUGGGGAGCAAACAGG
rnacentral:rRNA from 1 species